CUCCUGACAUGGGGCUGCAGCCAGGUGGGGUUGGGCUCCUGGGAUUCCCAUGCGCGUGGACGGUGGGUCAGAUGCUGUAGCCGCCAUCUGAAGCCGACGUGUGAAACUUCAGCUUCUUAGCAAGGGAGGAGUUGGAGGCUUGCGCGUUUAGAGUGCAGGUGGGGCAGCUGAGGCUCUAUGAGGACGACCAGCGGACGAAGGUGGUUGAGAUCGUCCGUCACCCCCAGUACAACGAGAGCCUGUCUGCCCAGGGCGGUGCGGACAUCGCCCUGCUGAAGCUGGAGGCCCCGGUGCCGCUGUCUGAGCUCAUCCACCCGGUCUCGCUCCCGUCUGCCUCCCGGGACGUGCCCUCGGGGAAGACCUGCUGGGUGACCGGCUGGGGUGUCAUUGGACGUGGAGAACUACUGCCCUGGCCCCUCAGCUUGUGGGAGGCGACGGUGAAGGUCAGGAGCAACGUCCUCUGUAACCAGACCUGUCGCCGCCGCUUUCCUUCCAACCACACUGAGCGGUUUGAGCGGCUCAUCAAGGACGACAUGCUGUGUGCCGGGGACGGGAACCACGGCUCCUGGCCAGGCGACAACGGGGGCCCCCUCCUGUGCAGGCGGAAUUGCACCUGGGUCCAGGUGGAGGUGGUGAGCUGGGGCAAACUCUGCGGCCUUCGCGGCUAUCCCGGCAUGUACACCCGCGUGACGAGCUACGUGUCCUGGAUCCGCCAGUACGUCCCGCCGUUCCCCAGACGCUAGCUGGGGUGCAGUGGGGUCUGCAUGAUCCAGGAGGGCCCGUCUUCCUUGUGGACACCCCUGCUGCUCCCCCGUCUCAGCCUCACCCUCCCGCAGAUCCCUGCCCCGAGACCCUUCUGCUCCUCUCGGUCUCUCAAGGCUCUGUGUUUCCCUGCCAGCAGGGGGCUCGGGGAGCCGGGUAGGGGCCCUCAAAGAUGAGUCGGGAGUGGAAACAGAAUCCCAGAAAUCCUAGACGGCUGCUUGUGACUUGACUCCAUUAAACAGUGUGGAAACCGC
ensembl:lncRNA novel transcript